rnacentral:rRNA from 1 species
GUAGGUGGCAAGCGUUGUCCGGAAUUAUUGGGCGUAAAGCGCGCGCAGGCGGUUCGUUUAAGUCUGAUGUGAAAGCCCACGGCUCAACCGUGGAGGGUCAUUGGAAACUGGAGAACUUGAGUACAGAAGAGGAAAGCGGAAUUCCACGUGUAGCGAUGAAAUGCGUAGAGAUGUGGAGGAACACCAGUGGCGAAGGCGGCGUUUCUGGUCUGUAACUGACGCUGAGGCGCGAAAGCGUGGGGAGCAAACAGGAUUAGAUACCCUGGUAGUCCACGCCGUAAACGAUGAGUGCUAAGUGUUAGGGGGUUUCCGCCCCUUAGUGCUGCAGCUAACGCAUUAAGCACUCCGCCUGGGGAGUACGGCCGCAAGGCUG